AUGGAACUGAAAUGGACUGCACCGAGAUAACACUCCAUCAGUGUUCACAGGAUAACCCAUAAUACUCAUGUGGGGUGAACAAAAACCUGUCUACAAAUACACAAUGUAAACAAGUGCUUGGCAGUGUCAUUGUUAAACCCAGAAUACACAUGUAUAAUCUCCCGGAGAGGUGAUGCAGGCUUGUGUAUGAGAUUGCACAAGCGUUUAUUAAGCGUCUAAAAGAAGCAGCACAUCAGUCUGUACGCGGUGCAGUUCCUCUAUUUAUUUUCAUUCCAUUUUAAAGCCGCCAUUACAGCCCGAAAUAUUUCACACGAGUUUUGUAAAGACACGACAGAGCAAUGCGGGUCUUUGCUUUAACCGGUCUCCUGCUUUAUGUCUCCGUACACACAGCUCCCAGUGACAUAUCCAAUCAGAUACGCACAGAGGGGAGUGACGCACUUCUCUUCUGUGUACAUGAUGGUAAAGUGUUGUGGAGUAAAGGUGUUGAUGGAGGGAGAAGGGACAUCCUCACUGCUGAACGUGGAGAAAUCAUCAUUAAACACAGUCCUGAUCCAGAUAACAGAUACACUGUGUUCAGUGAUUCAUCACUCCAUAUAAAGGAUCUGUCUCUCUCAGACUCGGGGGUUUACUACUGUAACGCUGUUCCUGUGAUCAAUCUGACUGUCACUCCAUCACACGGUAGCACCGGCGAGACAGAGAAAGGUUCCGCUGGAAAAGGGACCAAAAGUGAUGAUGGUGAUGGUGAUGAUGAGAAAGAUGAUGAUGAUGAUGAUGGUGUAAAAGAGUGGAUCGUCGCUGCUGUAGUGGGUGUGAGCUGUGUGGUGCUGUUGCUUCUGUCAAUAUGGGGAUUUUUCACUAAAAGGAAAGCAGCUCAACAGAACCACACAGUACACACAGUACACAUGUGUGACUCCGUUAUCAACCUUCCAGCAGACCCACAACCUGGAUGUAGUGUUACACACAUCUAUGACGUUACUAACGAGCCUCCGGAAGCCCCACGGUGUGCUGAUCAGCAGAGAGAGUGCGAUGCUGUGUAUUUCCUGGCACAAAGUCCAGCGUCCAACACUACAGGUGAUCAGGAGAGAGAGGGCGAGGCUGUAUAUUUCCUGGCAACACAUCCAACGUCCAACACUACAGAAGGGGACCAAGUUGGACCGCUUUACACCAAGGUCCAGAAGCCCAGAAAUAACACCUGAAGUUUGUCGUUAUAUGAUUAUUAAUAAUAAAUACAGCUGCAGCUCUAAUCUACUGUGGUUAGUUAUUAAUAAUUAGAUGCCGUAAUCGUGUUACGUUACAGUUUUUCUUUAAUGAAUUCAUCUUACACGUAAUCCCAUGUACGCAUUUCUGUGUACUUUUCUGUAUUAGCAAUAAAAGUUGCCACACACUGUUCACUUCCUGUUUUGGUGAAUCAUCUGGAAACUUCUGCAUCCUGCAGUGUUUUGUGUAAUUAUUUCAUCUAAUUAUAGACUAUGACACACAACCUCAUUUUUGGCAGCGAUUUGUGUGUUUGUGUUGUGAGAGUUGUUCACGAGUCCCUCGUUCGUCCUGAGCGGUUAAACCGCCCGCUGUUCUUCAGAAAAAUCCUCCAGGUCCUGAACGUUCUUUACUUUUCCAGCAUCUUCUGCAUAUUUGAUCCCGAUCAUCCUGUUCAAAAGUUUACACCCCCCGGCUGUUAAUGUAUUCAUCGUGUUGCCUUCUUGAUCAUCAGUGAAUGUUUGGACCUCAUGUAAUAGUCGUGUACGAGUCCCUCAGUCGUCCUCAGUCUGAAAAGACGGAUCUGAACAUCAUAUAGCUGCUGCUGGAAGAGGACUCAAAUGUGCAGAAGAUGCUGCAAAAGUAAAGAAUGUGCAGGACCUGGAGGAUUUUUCGGAAGAACAGCAGGCAGUGAAAGAACAGUGGGUUUUACUGAAAAAAGAAUUAUGAAUGAAAAGACUCUGAAACUUGUUUUUUUCUGAAUUAUAAACAAUGCAAAACAAUGUGCAUUUCUGUCUGUAUAAAAAUAAUAAAUAAAACAGCGGUUUAAUGUUGGAAAUGUAUUAAGGGUUCAACAUACCUUAAAAAUAAAUAAAUACUUUUAUAAAUUCUCCCAAAAAUGUGAUUGAAUAAACGGAGUCUCUGAUCUGGGGAAAGAUCGAAUGAAACACAAUGAGCUCCGUAGCAGCGUCUCUGAGGCGUCGUUGUACCGGAAAUAGAGCUCCAAAGUCGCUAAAAUGCCGGAUUACGCUGCGGAUCAGUGGUGCGGAGUGGGUUAGGGUCAGGGUUUACAGUGCAGUUGCAUCAGAUGCAUCAGAAUCAUUUCCAUG
ensembl:lncRNA